UCUCAGUGAAGAAAUUCACAUGUCUUCCUUUUGUCCUGGCCCCAUUGCCUGUAAAGGUGAACCCUCUGGGGCUGGCUUGAGAAGAAGAGGAAAAUUCAUUCUGGAAGAAACUGUCUAAGGGAU